rnacentral:tRNA from 1 species
GCCGAAGGUCGGCCGGGCGGCCGCUGGCAGUUGCCGGCUGCUGCCCGGCCGGCGUCCGGUUCGGCAGUCCGACACUGUCGUUCGUCC